UUACCACUUUGUGAUUCAUGACUGGGGUGAAGUCGUAACAAGGUAACCGUAGGGGAACCUGCGGUUGGAUCACCUCCUUACCUGAAAGAAGC
rnacentral:rRNA from 1 species